rnacentral:snoRNA from 1 species
GUGUGAAAUGAGGAAUAAUUGUUUCCCUAUUGGUUUGACUGCCGCUAUGAUGGCGUAUUAUUGCUUCAAACUUUCUGAUCACUC